rnacentral:rRNA from 1 species
CCUCUGCCCUAUGAUUUAUAAAUGGCGGCCAUAGCGUGACGGUAGUAAAGUAGCAUGGUGAUUUGUUAUUUUAUUGGUUUCUGGUAUGAAUGGGGGUUUCAUGGAUUAUUUUUUUAUUUUUUUUUUGAAUUAUUAUUUAUCUUUAAAAAUAAAGGUUUAAAAUAGUACAAAGAUAAGUCUUCGGAAACUUUUUUAUUUUUUAAUUUUCUUGGGGGUGGAUUUUAAAAAAUUUUUUUAUCUAAACUUAAAUUUUUAAGUUACUCCGGAGUUAACAGAGUAAAUAGGUCUUUAUACAGGUGUUAUGUUAAUGACUAUGCUACAUCGAUGUUGUAUAUUUAUUUUUAAUGGUAGGAGAAUUUAUUGUAAUUAAGACUGUUCUUCUUUUAUAAAAAUAAAACUUGAUAUUAGUUUAGUUCGUCGUGAGACAGAGCGGUUUAUCUUGACUAUUUUUUUAUAUUAAGGGUGCUAGUACGAAAGGAAGG